AACAAAGCUGUCUAGGGUUCCGUUAAUGGUUUUUCCGUUAAGUCUGGACCGAGAGAGAGCGUAUAGUCAGAAGUUGACUAUAUAACACGGAAGGAUAAAAGCCUGGGAGAC
rnacentral:sRNA from 2 species